rnacentral:lncRNA from 1 species
GUGCGGGAAAGUGAGGGUCGCGCGGGUCCCCACGGCCCCUGAGUAGCUUGGGGCGCCCCGGUGCGGGACCCCGGGUCCCCUUACCGCAGAGCAGCACCAGCAGCAGCGAGAGAAGUUGAGGGCGCCAAAGCACUACUCGCGUCUCCAUGGCUGGUCGGCUGCGGCGCGGUUCGGCUGGGUCCGGGCUGGGCACGCUGGGGGCGCCCGGAGGCGGGGCCCAGACGGGGUUGGGGCCACGGAGAGCCCGCCCCCAGGACGCGCCCCCACUACGCUCCCUCGCCCAGGACAGGCUCCCCCUGAGGACGCGCCUCUCGCACUCCUCCCCAGGGCGCGCCCUCCCCGGCAGGAUGCUCUCGCUGAGAUGAGCCAUCCCUCCCGCUGCGGGGGUGCGGCCCGCGGCGACCGCGGCUGGGCAGGCGAGAAAACCUUCAAGGAGCCUCACAUUUUCCAUCUGAAGCUAGAGAGAAUAACUGCCCUGCCUCACUCCCAUGUCAGAGCCCCACCACCCUGAGCAAGCGGCUUCCAUGUCAGGAAAGUGAGGUCAGACACUACCUUCUCCAGUGGGCCUGCUGGCAGCUCCCUGAGAAUCCUCUCUAUCCCCUCCUCACCCCUGCCUGGGCCACAGUCUGCCUGGUGGGAGAAUGAGCAGAUAUGCUCAUUGAGGAGGGGCCUCUUCAGCUCCUGGGACCCCAUGCCAGGUACUCCAAGAAACACAGGCAUCAAGUGAGCACGAGACCCUCAGGAAAAAUAACACCAUAGAGUGGAAAGAAAAACUACCUGAUGAGAGAAAGUAUUUGUGACACACAGGAUUCAAAUCUAAAGGAACUAUGACUUAUAGCAAUUUGUAAGCAGAAUUGAAGCAUUUACCUUUUUCUCCCUAUCUGAUCCCUCCAGAAUUUGAAAACUCUUGAUGAAUGAUCCAAAAGACCCAGAGAGAAUUCGAAUUAAAGAACCAGACACUCUCAGAUGUUCCUCUGCAUCAUCUCUAUAGUGGAGACUGAAUCCUAUUAAAAUACUGGAAACACAAGCACCCAGAAGAUCAAUUUCAUCUCUGCUGAAUGGGACCAUACAAGCAAUGCCACAGGAAACAGGAAUCAUGCCAUAGAAGAACAUCACAACAGGAUCACCCAAACCUUGGCUGGCUUCAUACUCUAGACACUGACUUCUCCAAAUGGACAAGUGAACCUCUAAUAGAUCUCAAGUUGCUGUACAGAAGACGGUCCCCUAAAACAGGAAGCAGCUGGAGCGGUCUUCAUCCCCAUUCCCCAAGAUUGACGAAUGAUCAAAAGAGAAGGGGGAUUGAAACUGAAGAUGAAGGAGUUAAAAUUUCCCUGGAUUAGGGUGAAACUGUGCCUUGUACCCACAAGGUUAACGUGGGAAACAAAAUAACCAAAGUUUCUGAGCUUGCCUUGCAGAACAGCAGGAGGACCACUGAUAAGAGAGGAACUUGCUGACAGCCCCCUGCCUGACUAAGCAUCUUGGAGGAACAUUGAGAAGCUAAAAUGACUGAUUGCAAACUUUAGAUGUCAAAGACUAAAGACUAAAAAGCCACCACUUGAAACAUGUAGAACAGACAGUCACACCUGUGCAGAGGACACUUAGAACUUCAGCCCAGAAGGCCACAUGCCCCCCUCCCCUACCUAAAACCCCGAACAAAAACCCUUGCUUGUAGCUUUUUGGAAGUUCAAAAUUACAGUGUUAGCUGCCCAUUCCCCUUACUCAGUGCUUUGCAAUAAAAUUCCUACUUUCUUCCACUACACCCAGUGUCAGAGAUUGGCUUGCUGCACAACGAGUGAGUGAAGUCACUUCAGGUUCAAUAUCAAGGAUAUAAGCCCUCUGGCUGCAAAGGAUUCACACAACAAAACCCCAAGUCAAAAUCCCCCCAAGAAAAAGGAGCCGUCAUUCUGCCCAAAGGGGAUCAUGGCCAGUCAAACAACAUCAGUCAUCUCCCCUCAAAGUGCCAUCCCCAGGGCUCUUCCUCACCUAUGCCAAUGUCAUGUCACAUUGAGGGUGCCAUUAGGUCAUUCUCUCAGUUAGUUAGGACUGAGGGGAAAUGGGGCUUCAGUUUGUGCUCCCAACCAGGUACACACCCUGUCCCAGUGCCACACACCACGGAGGGCAAGAGGAUGAGGGCUGGGGAUGCCCACAGAGGUCACCAGAACCUUGGCAGGAUUCAGAGUUGGCCCAGGCCCGCCCUCCCCCUGCUGAGCUUGGAGGGGAGAGCUCCGUGUUCUCUGCUCCUCUCUCAGGGCAUCUUCAUGCCCACUCUGUGCACUUAGCAAGACCGACUUCUUCUUGGAAUCCACUAGCUCCUCCACACUUAGCCCUUGGGGCCCUCCUCCUCCGGGUCUGCUCCUCUGGCCUCUGCACCUUCUGUCUCCAUCCAGCUCUGCCCCCGACUUCACCCACCAAGAUCCAGCUCUUCCUCCACUCCUCCAUGUCUGGCUCAGGGCCCUCCCUGGGUCCAGGCCCUCUGCUCUCACGUCUUGUGGCCCCAACUCCUCACCCCCCAGCUUGGGAACUGGAACAUUGAGUCCCUGGAACAGAACUGUCUUUGCUGAAAUUAGUGAAACUGCCAGGUGGUAUGAGUAGCCUGUCUGCAGAGAGACAGAACCCAAAUGCCAGUCCUCUCUCCUGCCUAGCUGCAGGCUGCCCCCGUCUCUGUGUGACACAUCAUUUCUCUUUUUGCUGCAUAAACUGCUUUUUAAUUUUUUAAAUUAGAGUCACAUAAAAUAAUAUAACAGAGAAGAUGCCUAAAUUUUUUUAAUUAAUUUGUUACGAUCAUUCUACCACUUAGUAAUUGUAAAACCCCUUUCUGAAGUUAAAGUAACGCUUGAUGAUUGCAACAAAGAAGACAGAGUCAGUGUGCCAGGCGAACACUCUCUGCAACGCAGUGAAGAAGGAAGUGCACGUUCUUUUCUGUUCUCCUUUUCAGUCGGUCCCACGCCCAAAGGUAAAUUUUCUUUUUUUUGUAUGGUACUAAUUCUUCCAUAACAAAGAUACAAUCUCUGAUGGCUGAACAGCAUUCCUCUGUGCGGCACUGGCUUUCAUCAACCCCACCUUAGAGUUUCCCCAUAACAAACAAGGCGUUACUGUCAUCACAGUGCAGUCUUUGCACAGUCCCGUGCAUUGUACACAUUCCUAGGAUAAAAUGCAGUUACAUUAAUUAAUAAGCAUCAUGUACAUUCCCAGAGUAGAAUGCUGCAGCCACGAAGGCAGCACACACACAGUUCGGUUGGCUGGCUUCCUGUGGAAGUGAGGCCCUGCAUUCCCACAUUCCUGCUACCUGCAGCCACACAGCCCACAUGGCCGCACGGGCAUCAAGUCCAGAUGAGUGGACUCUGCCCGGGUCCUUUUCCUUCCACACACAGCCUUUCCCAAAAUUCUCUCAGUCAUGUGUUCCCCGUGACCACAGCAGCUCCUCAAAUGGCUCAAGCGUCACCUAUGUAGCAGUCAGGACAGACACAGAUGGGGAGAGCAGUUAUAGUCAUGGAAAUGAAGGACAGAUGAAGGACAGCCAGCCAGGGAUGUCCCAGGGUGUGCCCUCUCACCUGUGGUUCCAGGUGCGUUGGCCUUCCAGGACAUGGCCGUGUCCUGGGAGCUGGAUGGGGAGCCGGGGGGCAGCGGAGCUUGGCCACCUCGAGACCCUGUCUCUUGUGCGAGAUGAGUAGGGGGAGCUCUGGGGAAGACUCAGGUGGAGUCAAUACUCGAUGUUUUAUUUUAUUGCUUCUUUUCCAGUCACUUCACUGGCUGUUUUCAGGGUCUUUCUCUGUUUCUGUUACCUUCAAAAAGCAGCUAUUCCGUGUUGGCUGAACGACGCUUUGCCACACCAGGUUCUCUGCUUCCCCUGCAGUCCCACAGGAAUGUUUCAGGGCUAGAACUGGAGCCCAGUGUCCCCAGUGUCCCCACACACACGCACAGGGCCAGGACUCUUGCCAGCCUCCCGCGCUUGUCUCUGUCUCCUCUGCACCCACUCCAAAUGGGGUCACCGUCCAUAGCAGGGCUGUCCAUUAGACCUAUAGUGUGGGCGACACAGGUCGUGGUAAAUCUGGUGGCCAAAUAGGAAAAUGUAAAACAAACAGGUGAAAUUUUAUUUUUAGCAAGACAUCUUAUUUAACGCAUUAUACUUGAAAUACUAUUUCAACAUGUAAUCAAUAUUAAAAAUCAUUAAUGAGAUAUCUUCCAUUCUCUUUUGUACUAAUUCUUCAAAAUUUGGUGCAAAUUUUACACUUACAGCACACCUCAGUUCAGAUGGAGCUCCUCA